CCUACGGGAGGCAGCAGUGAGGAAUAUUGGUCAAUGGCCGUAAGGCUGAACCAGCCAAGUCGCGUGAAGGAAGAAGGAUCUAUGGUUUGUAAACUUCUUUUAUAGGGGAAUAAAGGUAUCCACGUGUGGAUAUUUGCAUGUACCCUAUGAAUAAGCAUCGGCUAACUCCGUGCCAGCAGCCGCGGUAAUACGGAGGAUGCGAGCGUUAUCCGGAUUUAUUGGGUUUAAAGGGUGCGUAGGUUGUUUUUUAAGUCAGCGGUUAAAGUUUGUGGCUCAACCAUAAAAUUGCCGUUGAAACUGGAAGUCUUGAGUGUGUUUGAGGUAGGCGGAAUGCGUGGUGUAGCGGUGAAAUGCAUAGAUAUCACGCAGAACUCCGAUUGCGAAGGCAGCUUACUAAGCCAUAACUGACACUGAAGCACGAAAGCGUGGGGAUCAAACAGGAUUAGAUACCCGUGUAGUC
rnacentral:rRNA from 1 species